rnacentral:rRNA from 1 species
UACGGGGGGGGCAAGCGUUGUUCGGAAUUACUGGGCGUAAAGGGCUCGUAGGUGGCCAACUAAGUCAGACGUGAAAUCCCUCGGCUUAACCGGGGAACUGCGUCUGAUACUGGAUGGCUUGAGAUUGGGAGAGGGACGCGGAAUUCCAGGUGUAGCGGUGAAAUGCGUAGAUAUCUGGAGGAACACCGGUGGCGAAGGCGGCAUCCUGGACCGGUAUUGACGCUGAGGCGCGAAAGCUAGGGGAGCAAACGGG